rnacentral:piRNA from 1 species
UAGGCAAUGAAUGGGCUCUCACAUACCUC